GCCAGCAGACAUAUCACUCUGCAACUCACAACUGGCAACCCACUGAAGCUCAGCAGGUGUGAGCCUGGUCAGUACCUGGAUGGGAGACCUCCUGGGAAAAGCUAAGUUUGCCGCUGGAA
rfam:Lepisosteus oculatus linkage group LG3, whole genome shotgun sequence.